AGGGGAAACCUCGGAAGAGUGGGAUGACGCCCCAGUCUGUCCAGAGGAAGAGUGGGACGAAACGUGGGACGAUUGUCCCUCGGAGGAGGAUGUAAUGGGUGCGGACACUGUCAUUGAGCAGUGGGGGUUCUUUUCACAGAGCAGGUUGCCAGACAGUGGGUCUGUGCACGGGGAAGCAAAUUGAAAAGUAGGGUUUGAUUCCGGAGAGGGAGCCUUAGAAACGGCUAUCACAUCCAAGGAAGGCAGCAGGCGCGUAAAUUACCCAAUCCUGACACAGGGAGGUAGU
rnacentral:ncRNA from 1 species